UCAAAGGAGGUUCCAGGUCCAUAUAAAUUCUUUAUUUGGCUGGUUCUCAGAACAGGGGAAUUCUGGGGUUAUAGUCCAGAGAGAGCAGGAAAGGAGCAAGGAUAUCUCUGUUCACAGAUCCUGGGAAGCAGCAAGCCAUGGUGGAGAGACUAAAAGAGUGUUUGGGAAGGAGAAGACAUCACUAAAAAUUGGUGGAAUCACUACAUAUGAGUCUUCCUCAGUGAUUUCUGAAUCAUGAACUGGCAGAGCUGGUUGCACCACCUUUGGCCCACUAACUGCUUCCUUUUCUGAUCAAGAGUCUGACAACUAACAUCACUUUAAAACUGGGGUAGACCUGUGUCUUAAAGAAAUAUCAGGCCUGUCCUUAUCCCAC